GGCUCGUCCGCUCUGGGUUAGUCGGGUCCUAAGCUGAGGCCGACAGGCGUAGGCGAUGGAUAACAGGUUGAUAUUCCUGUACCACCUAUAAUCGUUUUAAUCGAUGGGGGGGACGCAGUAGGAUAGGCGAAGCGUGCGAUUGGAUUGCACGUCUAAGCAGUAAGGCUGAGUAUUAGGCAAAUCCGGUACUCAUUAAGGCUGAGCUGUGAUGGGGAGA
rnacentral:rRNA from 1 species